AUGAUCAGAGUGCUUGAUUGUUUGGAGGGCGAAAACAAACUAGUGGAUGUGAAUGUGUUGGCAGCCAGGACUGGUGACCACAGAGACGACCGAACAUUUGUCACAACCAGGACCCCAAAAGAGGCGAUACUGGUGCUGAUAGACACGAGCUCUUCCAUGGAAGAGGAGUGCUAUGGGGGUUCAGACAUAAAGAAGAUCAACGCGGUGAAAGAGCUCUUUGACAACUUUGCCACCAGGACCAUGGCUUAUGAUUUUUGUCAUGUCAUCGGCCUUGUGACGUUUGACUCCAUGGUGAAAAUUCUCCACACUUUUACGGAAAAUCUGGAAAAGUUCAAGGAACACAUGCGCAACGUCGAGGCAAGCGGUUGCACUCUGCUGUACGACGCCCUGCGGCGUGCGGCGUUGGAGUUGGAAAAGGUGCAGACGAGGUUCCCAGAUUGCCGACUUCGCAUAAUGUGUCUCACUGAUGGAAAUGAUUCUGGAUCCUCCGUCGAGCCGGACGCGGUUACAGUCAAGCUGCUUAACUCCAACAUCGUCGUGGACUCGAUCGUCCUGGGGAACGUGGAGAACAACACGCUGCAUGGGAUCAGCAACGCAACAGGUGGUUGCUGCUUCAAACCGCAGACGACCAAAGACGGUCUCAAGCUCUUUGAGAUGGAGACAGUUCUGUCUUUGGAGCAGCGGAAACUCAAGGAAGCACUCGACCCAUCUUCGGUCCUUCAGGUUGGUUGA
ensembl:lncRNA